rnacentral:rRNA from 1 species
AACGAGGCGAACCGGGGGAACUGAAACAUCUAAGUACCCCGAGGAAAAGAAAUCAACCGAGAUUCCCCCAGUAGCGGCGAGCGAACGGGGAGCAGCCCGGAGUCUGAAUCAGCUUGUGUGUUAGUGGAAGCGUCUGGAAAGUCGCAGGGUACAGGGUGAUACUCCCGUACACUAAAACACACAGGUUGUGAACUCGAAGAGUAGGGCGGGACACGUGGUAUCCUGUCUGAAUAUGGGGGGACCAUCCUCCAAGGCUAAAUACUCCUGACUGACCGAUAGUGAACCAGUACCGUGAGGGAAAGGCGAAAAGAACCCCGGCGAGGGGAGUGAAAAAGAACCUGAAACCGUGUACGUACAAGCAGUAGGAGCCCACUAGUUGGGUGACUGCGUACCUUUUGUAUAAUGGGUCAGCGACUUAUAUUCUGUAGCAAGGUUAACCGUAUAGGGGAGCCGCAGGGAAACCGAGUCUUAACUGGGCGUUAAGUUGCAGGGUAUAGACCCGAAACCCGGUGAUCUAGCCAUGGGCAGGUUGAAGGUUGGGUAACACUAACUGGAGGACCGAACCGACUAAUGUUGAAAAAUUAGCGGAUGACUUGUGGCUGGGGGUGAAAGGCCAAUCAAACCGGGAGAUAGCUGGUUCUCCCCGAAAGCUAUUUAGGUAGCGCCUCGUGAAUUCAUCUUCGGGGGUAGAGCACUGUUUCGGCUAGGGGGUCAUCCCGACUUACCAACCCGAUGCAAACUACGAAUACCGAAGAAUGUUAUCACGGGAGACACACGGCGGGUGCUAACGUCCGUCGUGAAGAGGGAAACAACCCAGACCGCCAGCUAAGGUCCCAAAGUCAUGGUUAAGUGGGAAACGAUGUGGGAAGGCCCAGACAGCCAGGAUGUUGGCUUAGAAGCAGCCAUCAUUUAAAGAAAGCGUAAUAGCUCACUGGUCGAGUCGGCCUGCGCGGAAGAUGUAACGGGGCUAAACCAUGCACCGAAGCUGCGGCAGCGACACUAUGUGUUGUUGGGUAGGGGAGCGUUCUGUAAGCCGUUGAAGGUGGCCUGUGAGGGUUGCUGGAGGUAUCAGAAGUGCGAAUGCUGACAUAAGUAACGAUAAUGCGGGUGAAAAACCCGCACGCCGGAAGACCAAGGGUUCCUGUCCAACGUUAAUCGGGGCAGGGUGAGUCGACCCCUAAGGCGAGGCCGAAAGGCGUAGUCGAUGGGAAACAGGUUAAUAUUCCUGUACUCGGUGUUACUGCGAAGGGGGGACGGAGAAGGCUAUGUUGGCCGGGCGACGGUUGUCCCGGUUUAAGCAUGUAGGCGGAUGUUCCAGGUAAAUCCGGAACGUUAUUAACGCUGAGGUGUGAUGACGAGGCACUACGGUGCUGAAGUGACAAAUGCCCUGCUUCCAGGAAAAGCCUCUAAGCAUCAGGUAACAUCAAAUCGUACCCCAAACCGACACAGGUGGUCAGGUAGAGAAUACCAAGGCGCUUGAGAGAACUCGGGUGAAGGAACUAGGCAAAAUGGUGCCGUAACUUCGGGAGAAGGCACGCUGAUGGUAGGUGAAGCGACUUGCUCGUGGAGCUGAAAUCAGUCGAAGAUACCAGCUGGCUGCAACUGUUUAUUAAAAACACAGCACUGUGCAAACACGAAAGUGGACGUAUACGGUGUGACGCCUGCCCGGUGCCGGAAGGUUAAUUGAUGGGGUUAUCCGUAAGGAGAAGCUCUUGAUCGAAGCCCCGGUAAACGGCGGCCGUAACUAUAACGGUCCUAAGGUAGCGAAAUUCCUUGUCGGGUAAGUUCCGACCUGCACGAAUGGCGUAAUGAUGGCCAGGCUGUCUCCACCCGAGACUCAGUGAAAUUGAACUCGCUGUGAAGAUGCAGUGUACCCGCGGCAAGACGGAAAGACCCCGUGAACCUUUACUAUAGCUUGACACUGAACACUGGUCCUUGAUGUGUAGGAUAGGUGGGAGGCUUUGAAGUGUGGACGCCAGUCUGCAUGGAGCCAUCCUUGAAAUACCACCCUUUAAUGGCUGGUGUUCUAACGUGGGCCCCUGAUCGGGGUUGCGGACAGUGUCUGGUGGGUAGUUUGACUGGGGCGGUCUCCUCCUAAAGAGUAACGGAGGAGCACGAAGGUCAGCUAAUCCUGGUCGGACAUCAGGAGGUUAGUGCAAUGGCAUAAGCUGGCUUGACUGCGAGCGUGACGGCGCGAGCAGGUGCGAAAGCAGGUCAUAGUGAUCCGGUGGUUCUGAAUGGAAGGGCCAUCGCUCAACGGAUAAAAGGUACUCCGGGGAUAACAGGCUGAUACCGCCCAAGAGUUCAUAUCGACGGCGGUGUUUGGCACCUCGAUGUCGGCUCAUCACAUCCUGGGGCUGAAGUAGGUCCCAAGGGUAUGGCUGUUCGCCAUUUAAAGUGGUACGCGAGCUGGGUUUAGAACGUCGUGAGACAGUUCGGUCCCUAUCUGCCGUGGGCGCUGGAGAAUUGAGGGGGGCUGCUCCUAGUACGAGAGGACCGGAGUGGACGCAUCACUGGUGUUCGGGUUGUCAUGCCAAUGGCAUUGCCCGGUAGCUAAAUGCGGAAGAGAUAAGUGCUGAAAGCAUCUAAGCACGAAACUUGCCCCGAGAUGAGUUCUCCCUGACCCUUUAAGGGUCCUGAAGGAACGUUGAAGACGACGACGUUGAUAGGCCGGGUGUGUAAGCGCAGCGAUGCGUUGAGCUAACCGGUACUAAUGAACCGUGAGGCUUAACCUU